GGGGAUUUAGCUAAGUGGUAGAGCGUUUGCCUAGCAAGCACAAGGGACUGGGUUCGUUUCCCAGCUCCG
rnacentral:tRNA from 1 species